CACUGACCACCGAGCUUCAUCUCAGAUAUACACCGAUCCUUACUACUCCUUCUCAGUCUGGAGCUUUGCAGCAAUAGGGAUAGAAUGUGAGAGGUUGCGAAAAAAGUCCUUUGUUGUGCAUAUAGGUAAUGUAAUUAAAGAGCUACUUUUUGCAACUCUACCAAAAAUAUCCAAAAAAUUGUGGGCAAAUCAUGCACAGGAGAUUGCUUUGACAGGG
rnacentral:lncRNA from 1 species